rnacentral:rRNA from 1 species
UGGGGAAUCUUGCACAAUGGGGGAAACCCUUAUGCAGCGACGCCGCGUGAGCGAUGAAGGUUUUCGAAUCGUAAAGCUCUGUCCUAUGGGAAGAUAAUGACGGUACCAUGGGAGGAAGCCCCGGCUAACUACGUGCCAGCAGCCGCGGUAAUACGUAGGGGGCGAGCGUUGUCCGGAAUUACUGGGCGUAAAGGGUUCGCAGGCGGCAUGGCAAGUCCGAUGUAAAAGGCGAAGGCUCAACCUUCGUAAGCAUCGGAAACUGUCAAGCUUGAGUGAAGGAGAGGCAAGUGGAAUUCCUAGUGUAGCGGUGGAAUGCGUAGAUAUUAAGAGGAAUACCGGUGGCGAAGGCGACUUGCUGGACUUCAACUGACGCUGAGGAACGAAAGCGUGGGUAGCAAACAGG